UCCAAACUCAUUUGCAAAUAUGUAUGAAAAUAUAAUAACAUUAAAAUAUUAUUAUUAUUAUUAUUAUUUUUUAACUCAUACAAUCAUCUACUAAAAAUACAUUGUACAAACAAGUCGUAUGUGGUUAUUAUCAAUCAUAUAGAACUAAUCAAUGCAAGUAUUGCAAUUUAUAUUCAAAGUGGUAAAAUUUCACAUCAGCUCACACUUUUAGAGUCCUGAUGUCAUAUUCUGAUUACGAUUAAUCGAAAAAGUAAAUUUUACGCCAACAAAAAAUUCUGAUGUCUAGCGCGCAGUUUGUCAACAAGAACCAGCUGAACUAAAAUUUUUCUUAUGCUCCUAAGUCCUUUCUUUACAAGACUUUCUUAUAACAGCUAUAACAAAAUAAUACAAUAUAAAAGUAUAUAUAUCAAGCUAACCUGAACAAAAGAAAUCAAACGGAUUCUGCGUGUAUGUAUAAAACAAAAACAACAUAAUAUUUACUUAUAUAUCUUCCAUUUUAUCUUCAAUGUAUGCUACGUACAAAUGUUGACAAAUCUGUUUUAAAUCGAUACAAAAUUUUCCUAUCUAUAUAGUGUACCCACAAUUUCGGCAUGAUUUCUUUACAUACUCCUGCUACUUACUUCCAAUUCCACUAUCAAUUAGUUAAAAACAAUCGAUACAACAAUUAAUACCAAUAACGCCUAUAUAUAUUUUCAUAAUCUGCACUUAGUUCUUUGCAUUCAAUAAUCAUUAAAUUGCAUGCGAAUAUCACCUCACAUAUACUCUAAAUACUCUCUAUUAAUAAUAUUCUAUGAAACCAAUACUAAUAUAAUAUUAUUUAUUCUUCUUAUGCUAAAUGCCGUUGAGUGUCGAGAGGUCAGUUUAAUUGCCAACUCUACAAGGAUAAAGGAUGGCAUAAACUUAUACUACUGAAUACUAACACUGUGCUCCUACAAUAAUAAAUUAAUUAUUUUAGAUUAACCAAAAUUAAGAAACAAACGAUGUGUGGAC